rnacentral:rRNA from 1 species
GAGUUUGAUCCUGGCUCAGGAUGAACGCUAGCGGCAGGCUUAAUACAUGCAAGUCGAACGGGAUUCGGAGUAGCAAUACUUUGAUGAGAGUGGCGCACGGGUGCGUAACGCGUAUGCAACCUACCUUUAACAGGGGAAUAGCCCCGAGAAAUCGGGAUUAAUACUCCGUAACAUUGCGGUGUGGCAUCACACUGCAAUUAAAGAUUUAUCGGUUAAAGAUGGGCAUGCGUGACAUUAGCUUGUUGGUGAGGUAACGGCUCACCAAGGCAACGAUGUCUAGGGGUCCUGAGAGGGUUAUCCCCCACACUGGUACUGAGACACGGACCAGACUCCUACGGGAGGCAGCAGUAAGGAAUAUUGGUCAAUGGGCGCAAGCCUGAACCAGCCAUGCCGCGUGCAGGAAGACGGCCCUAUGGGUUGUAAACUGCUUUUAUCAGGGAAUAAACCCCCGCUCGUGAGCGGGGCUGAAGGUACCUGAAGAAUAAGCAUCGGCUAACUCCGUGCCAGCAGCCGCGGUAAUACGGAGGAUGCAAGCGUUAUCCGGAUUCAUUGGGUUUAAAGGGUGCGCAGGCGGAUUGGUAAGUCAGGGGUGAAAUCCCACAGCUCAACUGUGGAACUGCCUUUGAUACUGUCAGUCUAGAGUAUAGUUGAAGUGGGCGGAAUGUGUCAUGUAGCGGUGAAUUGCUUAGAUAUGACACAGAACACCGAUCGCGAAGGCAGCUCGCUAAGCUAUAACUGACGCUCAUGCACGAAAGCGUGGGGAUCAAACAGGAUUAGAUACCCUGGUAGUCCACGCUGUAAAACGAUGAUUACUCGAUG